rnacentral:lncRNA from 1 species
UUUGGACAGAACUUACGCUGAGGAGGAGGCACUUGUUUUCCUUGAUGGCCCCCAGGCAGCCGAGGAAGCCCGUCACCAUGACAAUGGUGCCUAUGGCGAUGACCAGGUUGGCUGCAGACAACGAAGGGAAGCUGGGGGAGAAGGUGGCAAAGUUGCCUUGGGACACGGAGAGCCAGAUGCCCACUCCCAGCAGCCCACAGCCACAGAGCUGGAAAGGAAGGAAAGCCCAUUAGCCUGGCGCUGCUCUCACACUCGUCAAUGGACCUGGGAACACUGCAGGUCCCCACCCCAUGCUCUGAGACACAGACAAAGUGAGAACCGACAAGGUGAGAACGGGACUACCGUCGGGCUGCAGACCCGAAGCAUGUCGGCUGUGUGACCCAGACGGUCCCCUAGCCUCUCUGUGCCUCAGUCUCCCCAUGUGACAACGGAGACUGUGCCAGUUUCAAGAGCCUCCCAGGUCAUUCUGAGGAUGGAUUAAACCACACAGAGGCAAAAGUGCAUAACAAAUACAUGGAAGGUACUGGACACAUGUGAGUGGUUAGGUUACUCUGCGUGAUAGAGAAGAGGCCCCAGUGUCCAAGACGGAGGCCUGGUGAGAGGGGAGAACUGGGGUCAGGAAAAGCAAGAAAGACUUCAUCUCUGGAGGUGGGAAGGGACCCUCGGAGUCGGGUUUCUUGGAGCCAGAACUUCCAGCGACUGUGUCCUGUUACUCUGACCCGAAGGGCCAUUUGUCCACUGGAGUCUGAAGAACAAUUUCCCACAGAUGGAGAAAGGAGGCAGUCAUCGGCUGGCUGGGGGCCUGGCCAGUGUGCGGGACGUGGGAGUCCAUGGCUGCCUUCACCACCCAUCCAAUAAGCUGGUCUCUGGCAUGAUCGGCCCCAAAACCAAAAAGCAACUCUCCCCAACAGCACCCCUGGGGCUGCCGGCGCCACCAGCUCCACCUGGGGAAGCUUCCAUUUCACAGGCUGCAAAUCUCCACGUCUGCCUUAUUUUAUGCUCGAUAUAGCUGGCACUCCCCGACUCCCUCCGCCAGCUCAUGGGAAGUGUGCUGAGUCUGAGGAGCCAAUCAAUCAGUGAAACAGUAUUUACUGAGUGCCUACAGCAUGCAGUGUGCCAUGCCAGAAAAGCUACAACCACUUUAAAGACCUGUUUUCCAGGGGCCUCUGUUCUGGCUGGAUGGGAGCAAUCAAAGUGCAAAAUCUACCACUCCCAGGUGGGAUGGACUGGUGCCCAGUCAACGCUACGGGCGCUCAGAGGAGGCAAUCACUGUCGCAGUCACGGAAGCCAGUUGAAGGAGGAGCCAGACCAGCUUGAGAGCUGGGGACGACUCAUACCAGGAGGCUACGGAGGAGCGGUGAGAAAUGGUCCAAUUUGAGAUGUUUUGAAGGUGGCAUUGACAGGCCUUGCUGGGCUUUGAAGAAUGAAUAGGAUUUUGAUAAAUGGGGAACCAGAAAGGUGGGCAUGAAGAAAAAGGGCGAUCUGGUCUGGUCCGUGCGCUGACUCCGGAGGAGGGAAAGGGUGCAGGCCCCCAGCACAGAGAAAAGCCUCAAGGCAUCAGGCUGUAUCAGGAUCUUCUUUGUGAUCA